AGAGUUUGAUCAUGGCUCAGAAUCAACGCUGGCGGCGUGCCUAACACAUGCAAGUCGAACGAGAAAGGGGAGCAAUCCCUGAGUACAGUGGCGACCGGGUGAGUAACACGUGACUAACCUACCCUCGAGUGUGGAAUAACAUCGGGAAACCGAUGCUAAUACCGCAUAACAUCGCAAGAUCAAAGGAGCAAUCCGCUUGA
rnacentral:rRNA from 1 species